CCCACACACACAUGAUACUCGGGCUAAGGGUCAAGUUGGUAAUUUUUCUUACUUCUCUCCUUCCCGAAGCCCAAUUAUCAUAUACGCCCCCAAAAUAAAGAGCCUUAAUACUAGAAAAAAAGCACCUAGACCACAC
rfam:Nicotiana attenuata strain TT chromosome 2, whole genome shotgun sequence.